rnacentral:rRNA from 1 species
UACGUAGGUGGCAAGCGUUGUCCGGAUUUAUUGGGUUUAAAGGGUGCGUAGGCGGCUUUAUAAGUCAGUGCUGAAAUAUCCCGGCUUAACCGGGAGGGUGGCAUUGAUACUGCAGAGCUUGAGUGAAGUCGAGGUAGGCGGAAUUGACGGUGUAGCGGUGAAAUGCUUAGAUAUCGUCAAGAACACCGAUAGUGAAGACAGCUUACUAGACUUCAACUGACGCUGAGGCACGAAAAGUGUGGGGGAUCAAACAGGG